CCUGCCUCAGUCACUCAAAGAAUUGGAGAAUGUAUUGAAAAAAAGCGACAGUAGAAAUAGAAACCCCAAUUAGAAGGAUAAUAAUUUCUAAUGUGUCUUACUACUUAUAAGUAGAGGUUUUAUUUACAUUUAUAUUUUCCUAUUUUAUUUAA